GGUGCUGGUUGCCCAGAGUAUGGAAGUGCAGCUGUGUUAGUUUCUACUUCUGCCUUAAUCUAGCCCAUCCAAGCCUUUGACCCAGCCCUGCUUUUGUCUUCCCUGACUCCAGGUUUGGAUUCUGAAAACCAGUAACUGCUGGGGGGGAGGAAGAUAUAUGACCCUGUAAAAACACACAGCGAAAGAUUGAGACCAAACAUCUGCUGCCUACUUGUGCAAAAUUUCAGGAGUUGGGGUAAUGAGAUCAGAAACCCAUGAAGCUAUUUCUCCAUGCUGCAUGAGCUUCUUUCAGCUGUCAGCACUUAUGAGGGAAGAUCCUAAACUUAUGCCUUGCCAGGGACAUACUAGCAGCCUUUAGAAGGGAAACACAGGAUUCUGAACUCACAUCUCGAUGGAUAAGCUCUCUGGAGGAGGGACAGUCUUUUCAUUAUGUGUGUACAGCACAUGGCACAAUUGGGGCGCUAAUAAUUGUCUGGGGCCUCUAGAAGCCAUUCCUAUACAAGUAAUAAAUAGUUAAUAAUUCCAAUGAGAUCCUGCUGUAUAUUCUGUAAAUGACAAGUCAUGUGAGAGGCUAGUGAGAGGCCAUUCAACAUGUUGUAAAUAACAGUAAAGAACAAGCAAACACAGAAGCUACUAAGGUUUAUUUCAUGACUUUCUUAAACUUUAAGUAAUCCAAUUCCCAACCCCUGCCCCCCUGAGCGACUCUAUUAUGAGGAUUAUCUAAUGGAAAAGACUAUUGACUUGAAGAGAACAUUGCAAUUCAUGGUAAAAUUCCAUUACGCUUCCUAUUGGGUGUGUCCAAUUACUUCCAGUAUAAAUUAACUAGGCAGUUGGGUGUAUGUUUGCUUUUCGUAAUUUCAUAUAGAUAAUUAUAAUUAUGGUUUGAAUUCAUGUUUUCUUUAAGGGAGCAAUGGUUUCACAUGAAAUUAAGGUGACAGAGUUUGCAAAUUAUUCAUAGUUCUGUCACAACGCUAUAGAAUUAUCUCAAAUCCUAUAGAAUCAUUCAAAUUUCCCACAAAUUCCAUUGCCAAGAUCCAAUACUUUUAAGUAACGUCAGUGAAUGUUGAGCUUGGGGACAUACCCAUUGUUUUAUUUGCACUGCCACCAUGAAGUAUCUCAAAGUAUUA